CCACGGCUAACUACGUGCCAGCAGCCGCGGUAAUACGUAGGUGGCAAGCGUGUCCGGAAUUAUUGGGCGUAAAGGGCUCGCAGGCGGUUUCUUAAGUCUGAUGUGAAAGCCCCCGGCUCAACCGGGGAGGGUCAUUGGAAACUGGGGAACUUGAGUGCAGAAGAGGAGAGUGGAAUUCCACGUGUAGCGGUGAAAUGCGUAGAGAUGUGGAGGAACACCAGUGGCGAAGGCGACUCUCUGGUCUGUAACUGACGCUGAGGAGCGAAAGCGUGGGGAGCGAACAGGAUUAGAUACCCUGGUAGUCCACGCCGUAAACGAUGAGUGCUAAGUGUUAGGGGGUUUCCGCCCCUUAGUGCUGCAGCUAACGCAUUAAGCACUCCGCCUGGGGAGUACGGUCGCAAGACUGAAACUCAAAGGAAUUGACGGGGGCCCGCACAAGCGGUGGAGCAUGUGGUUUAAUUCGAAGCAACGCGAAGAACCUUACCAGGUCUUGACAUCCUCUGACAAUCCUAGAGAUAGGACUUCCCCUUCGGGGGCAGAGUGACAGGUGGUGCAUGGUUGUCGUCAGCUCGUGUCGUGAGAUGUUGGGUUAAGUCCCGCAACGAGCGCAACCCUUGAUCUUAGUUGCCAGCAUUCAGUUGGGCACUCUAAGGUGACUGCCGGUGACAAACCGGAGGAAGGUGGGGAUGACGUCAAAUCAUCAUGCCCCUUAUGACCUGGGCUACACACGUGCUACAAUGGACAGAACAAAGGGCAGCGAAACCGCGAGGUUAAGCCAAUCCCACAAAUCUGUUCUCAGUUCGGAUCGCAGUCUGCAACUCGACUGCGUGAAGCUGGAAUCGCUAGUAA
rnacentral:rRNA from 1 species